rnacentral:rRNA from 1 species
UGCGGAGGGAUCAUUACAAGUGACCCCGGUCUAACCACCGGGAUGUUCAUAACCCUUUGUUGUCCGACUCUGUUGCCUCCGGGGCGACCCUGCCUUCGGGCGGGGGCUCCGGGUGGACACUUCAAACUCUUGCGUAACUUUGCAGUCUGAGUAAACUUAAUUAAUAAAUUAAAACUUUUAACAACGGAUCUCUUGGUUCUGGCAUCGAUGAAGAACGCAGCGAAAUGCGAUAAGUAAUGUGAAUUGCAGAAUUCAGUGAAUCAUCGAAUCUUUGAACGCACAUUGCGCCCCCUGGUAUUCCGGGGGGCAUGCCUGUUCGAGCGUCAUUUCACCACUCAAGCCUCGCUUGGUAUUGGGCAACGCGGUCCGCCGCGUGCCUCAAAUCGACCGGCUGGGUCUUCUGUCCCCUAAGCGUUGUGGAAACUAUUCGCUAAAGGGUGUUCGGGAGGCUACGCCGUAAAACAACCCCAUUUCUAAGGUGACCU